CUUCUUUCACUUUAGGGAAAAUCCAGCAUUCUCGGGCUUUUUUCCUACUCCCAGGCUGAUGCAUAUGCCGAAGAAAAUCACACCAUCAUGCAGUCAGUGGGAGCUCUGUGCAGGACGGCAACAUGAACACCGGCCUCUAUACAUGAAGGUGAGAACUG
rnacentral:lncRNA from 1 species